rnacentral:rRNA from 1 species
GACAAACGCUGGCGGCGUGCUUAACACAUGCAAGUCGAACGGAAAGGCCCCUUUGGGGGUACUCGAGUGGCGGACGGGUGAGUAACACGUGAGUAACCUGCCCUUGACUUCGGGAUAACUUCAGGAAACUGGGGCUAAUACCGGAUAGGAAUCCUUGCUGCAUGGUGGGGGUUGGAAAGCUUCGGCGGUUUUGGAUGGACUCGCGGCUUAUCAGCUUGGUGGUGGGGUAGUGGCUUACCAAGGCUUUGACGGGUAGCCGGCCUGAGAGGGCGACCGGCCACAUUGGGACUGAGAUACGGCCCAGACUCCUACGGGAGGCAGCAGUGGGGAAUAUUGCACAAUGGGCGGAAGCCUGAUGCAGCAACGCCGCGGGCGGGAUGACGGCCUUCGGGUUGGAAACCGCUUUCAGCAGGGGCGAAGCUUGUGGUGACGGUACCUGCAGAAGAAGCACCGGCUAACUACGUG